rnacentral:rRNA from 1 species
CAGCAGUCGCCGCGGUAAUACGUAGGGUGCGAGCGUUAAUCGGAAUUACUGGGCGUAAAGCGUGCGCAGGCGGUUAUAUAAGCCAGAUGUGAAAUCCCCGGGCUCAACCUGGGAACUGCAUUUGAGACUGUAUGGCUAGAGUGUGUCAGAGGGGGGUAGAAUUCCACGUGUAGCAGUGAAAUGCGUAGAUAUGUGGAGGAAUACCGAUGGCGAAGGCAGCCCCCUGGGAUAACACUGACGCUCAUGCACGAAAGCGUGGGGAGCAAACAGGAUUAGAUACCCGCGUAGUCCCUGUCUCUUAUAC